rnacentral:rRNA from 1 species
AUUGAACGCUGGCGGCAGGCCUAACACAUGCAAGUCGAGCGAGCGGCGGACGGGUGAGUAAUGUCUGGGAAACUGCCUGAUGGAGGGGGAUCACUACUGGACACGGUAGCUAAUACCGCAUACCAUCAGAUGUGCCCAGAUGGGAUUAGCUAGUAGGUGGGGUAAUGGCUCACCUAGGCGACGAUCCCUAACUGGUCUGAGAGGAUGAUCAGUAACACUGGAACUGAGACACGGUCCAGAAGCCUACGGGAGGCAGCAGGGGGGAAUAUUGGACAAUGGGCGAAAGCCUGAUGCAGCCAUGCCGCGUGUGUGAAGAAGGUCAUCGGAUUGUAAAGCACUUGAAGUUGGGAGGCGUGACCAACAGAAUAAGCACCGGAUAACUACGUGCCAGCAGCCGCGGUAAUAC